rnacentral:lncRNA from 1 species
GAUUAAGUAGCCCUGUUAAGUUUUUACCUCUCUGAUUGGAGCUUAUUUUAACCUCAAUUAAGCCAUCAGCCUGGGUUUCUGAAGGCAGAGCAAUAGCAGAGCCAUUAUCAUUCUCCCCACCUUUUGUAUGAAAAUGAUGUUGAGGAUAGGUUGCUUUGGGGAUUGCUCUGUGGCAGGUAACCAACGCCGAGAAUCGGGAGGAUAAAUGGUGCCAGACUCCCAGAGGUGCCGUGGCACUGUGUAAUUAUUGUUCCAGACAGCUGAAAGCAGCAGGGUUUCUGGUUCCCCUGCUUAGUUUCAGUCUGCCAUGAUUGCUGGCACAGAAAGAUGCUGAUUGUAAGUAAACAUCAAUUAUGCCCUGCUACCCCACUGCUAACAUCUCUGGGCUUGCAAGAAACAGAAGCACAGUGCUGUGCUUGGCUCCUGCUACCAAAACCCACACCUAUAUGGAUUUCAGCUUCCAGGUUUUUGUCUUGCUUGGUCAAGGGACAUUGCUCCUAAAUUCCAUCCUCAUGAAUAACGCAGAAAAGGUUAUGAGAGUUAAACAAAGCACCAGUCCUUCCAAGAGCUCCAAAUGCCAGCAUGGCUGGAAGAAGCUGAUGGAGGGAGGAGGAUGGAAGGGGCAGAGGAGGGGGAAGUUCUCAGCCAGAACCCAGGAGCCAGAGUUGUUCCUCAGGAGCUCAGGAAACAGGGUGAUGGAAACACUGCUUGAUGAAUGGAACAGCACCCAGGAGGUGAGGGGUGGUGGCAUUGCCACAGAUUACCAAGAUAAUCCUGUGACCUGCCUGCCCAACACACAGAGGUUUUAGUGGCAGCUCUUCAGAGAGCAUGCCACUACCAGUGGAAUAGGUUUUCACAGCUUGGAAUCAUGAUUACCACCACCAAAAAGUAAAAGGCUGUGAGACUAAAAGGAGUGAGAAAAUUCUUCCUGAGUGAGUUGAGGAAACAGCCGUACCAAACCUGACACCCCUUUGCUGGGACAGUUGGAAGAAGCAUCCUCCAUCAUGUCCAGACAGAGUUUCCUGUCUCGAGAACAAGUUGUCCAGCACUAGUUCUCUGGGAAACACCAGGGAAAAAAAGUGAAACACCAAAUUGAUUCCAAGGAUGAUUUUCUUCCAUGAAAUGAAGAUAAAUAAUUCCGCUGCUUUACGACUGGUGGUUUUACUGUGAGGUAUUGCACAACAGGAUUAAAUAAUGUUCAAGUAUGACUACAUCCAAUUUUAUCUGCCUGUGUUUUCCUUAGCUCAUUGUGUCUCAGAGAAGCCUGGUUAUCAAGAACAAAAGCCUUUUAGCUCUGCAGAUGACAUGCACAUGAACCAUUCUCACCUGCCUGCUGUAACAAGCAUGUGGAAUACAUAUUGAACUCAUUCUUCAUAGUGUUUUGUCUCAUAACAUUUGGAAUUUAAGUAAGCUUUGUACCUUAAUAAAUAAAUAUUGAGCUAAUUGCA